rnacentral:sRNA from 1 species
GGUGUUCGAGUAAGGGAGAAGUGCCACUUUCUUUUUAACAAAUAGGCAUGCCGGAUUGAAAGAAGACUCGCUGUUUAUUCAAAACUUACAUGGUUACAACUGUAAGAUUGUACAGUUAUCGUUAAUGUUUCUACAGAUUUUUACAUUUAAUACUAGUCUCUCUAUUUUUGGAUUGACAAUUUCUAAUUUAUGAAUAUACAUGUAAGAUUAUGUGAAUAUUCAACAGAUUCAGCAGGGAGACUUUGGAGACUUUCAUUUUGUAUAAAGGGAAUAGUGAAUUCUUGUACCAAAGAUUUUAUUUCACUUGACUCCAAAAUUAUUCCAUUAAAAGAGGUUUUACUGUAGAUUGCCAUUAAAAAAAAAAUCAAAACUUACCGGUAUCAUGUGGGCAGUGCUGUAUUUUGCCAACAUUAUAAAUUUUUACAUGAAUUCUCCUAAUGUCCUUUUGUCAUCUUCCUCUGUUAUUUUCUUCAAACUUUGAUGGUCAACAUACAAUGUACAUGUAUAUCUAUACAUUGCCACAGUGUAUUAAAUUUACGUAAUUUGUUUAAUAUUCAUUAUGUGUCAUUAAUUGUCAAAUGUUCAUUAUGUUACAUGUACAAUUGCAAAUAAGACAAUGUUUUUAAAAUAAGAAGUCAGGGGAAAUUUUUUUAUUUUUUGAUAGCAGUGUUAAUAAUUACGCACAAUUUUAUGAUAUUGAUUACAUUUCAUUGGAUAUAAUAUGGAUGUUAUAAACUUCUUGUUUUGUAAUUUGUGCAAUGAAUGGUGCAUUUUUAAAAAAAAAAAAAGAAAUAUAACAAAGUCAUGUCAUGAAUUCUGGUAUAUGACCUUGGUUAUAUUCAAUUUGGUCAAACGAGAUCGAUAAUUGAAAUACAUGUAAUUGAUUAUGAUAAUUUUAUCCUUGCUAGACAAGGGCCACAACCCUUACUCUCAGAAAGAUGUUGCUAUUAUACAUGUAUAAUGUAUUUUCUCUUGGUGUUCGUAUGUAGUACAUGUAAUUGCAUUCACCCUUCAGCUUCCUUUCUUAGUUUAAGCCAGUAUCUAAUAUAGUUAUUUUUGCCUCGUAUUAUUUUCGCCCUUCUACACUUCCAAAUGAUUUUGCCCGUCUUGAAUUCGCCUGCGUAUAGUAAGAAAUAUAUACUUUUUGCUAAUUAACACAGUGGUCCAAAAAAUUGUUUUGAUUUCGCCCAGUCUAAAAUUUGCCCACUAACAAUAAGGGGUGCAUG